AGUCUUCACUCUGACAGAUCAUAUACAAAAAUGAGAAUGAUACAGAGAAGAUUAGCAUGGCCCUGUGCAAGGAUGGCAUGCAAAUUUGUGAAGCAUUCCAUAGUUUA
ensembl:snRNA U6 U6 spliceosomal RNA